rnacentral:snRNA from 1 species
CUUGUUAUCAAACAUGUUCUCUGAUAAUACAAAAUCUGUUCUUAUCAGCUCAAUAUCUGAUACGUGCCCUACACGGGCACCAGAAUAUUAAACUGAUUUUUGAACAUUGGCGGGGUUACCGGAGCUUGCUCCCGCCCUGCCGCCGGUUGGCCGGGAAUUGCACUGUAGCCAGGAUCGGCCCAUUUUAU